AUUCCAGCUCCAAGAGCGUAUAUUAAAGUUGUUGCAGUUAAAAAGCUCGUAGUUGGAUUUCUGGUACAAUGCGCCUGGCCCGCUGCAAUUAGCAUGUGUGUGUCGGUGCGCGUUUGCCAUCCUUCUAGAAAACGUUUCUACCAUUAACUUGGCCGGACUCGCGAUCUAGAUCUUUUACUUUGAAAAAAUUAGAGUGUUUAAAGCAGGCUUUUGCUAUGAAUACAUUAGCAUGGAAUAAUAAUCUAGGACUUCGGUUCUAUUUUGUUGGUUUCUAGUACUGAAGUAAUGAUUGAUAGGGAUAGUUGGGGGUGCUAGUAUUGACCGGCCAGAGGUGAAAUUCUUGGAUUCGGUCAAGACUAACUUAUGCGAAAGCAUUCACCAAGGAUGUCUUCAUUA
rnacentral:rRNA from 1 species